rnacentral:rRNA from 1 species
GAUCCUGCUCAGGAUGAACGCUAGCUACAGGCUUAACACAUGCAAGUCGCGGGGCAGCAUGAAGGAUGCUUGCAUCCUUUGAUGGCGACCGGCGCACGGGUGAGUAACGCGUAUCCAACCUGCCUGUUACCACGGCACAGCCCGUCGAAAGGCGGAUUAAUGCCGUAUGUGGUCUUGAAAGGGCAUCUGAUCAUGACUAAAGGUUCAGCGGUAACGGAUGGGAUGCG